UGGGAGAAUGAAUGCGUGUACAUGAGCAGUGACUGACACGCAGUUAGACACCCCAGGUGUUUCUCAAAGUCAAGGAAGGAUCCUUCGAAGCCAGAAUUUUGAGGAUGCUACGUCAUCAACGUCUGUCGAAGGACCGUUCCGAUGUCGAGGAUCCUCCGAAUUCUACCAAAGACUGAGUCCUUCGUUCGGAGAAAUCCCCAUGUGUAUCCUUCGCACUCCCAUAUCACCCACAAUCCUUUGCGCGCAGCCUUGCCGGCUUGUUUAAAAAAAUUAAAUGGCGGACCUAAGCGGGAGUUGGAGCGGCAUUGCUGACGGCGAAAUAAUCAUUUAAACGGACAAACGGAGGCGGUCACUGAGGAUGGGAAAGCAAAAGACAAGCAGGGAGACAGAGGCCAAAGACAGACGUUGUAUAGCUAGAUUAUUUGCUAAAGCCUUUUAGAGAUUGGCAUUCUGAAAAUAAAUGCAUUAAAUGAACUGG